rnacentral:lncRNA from 1 species
GGCAUACACGCUCCAGCCUCCGCCAGGAACCGGGCGAUAGCCCCGAUUAACCCUUUCGGCACCCAGCGCACACCCCCAGCGCGGCUCUGAGAUGCUCCAGAGGACGGAGGCGAUAAGGCGACGUUUGGCGAUGACCCGCUCUGGGACGCGGGCGAUCGCACAGCAGCGCGUGCUAAUCUGCACAUCCGCGGUGCCGCGGCUGCUCGUCAGCGGGGCAGCCCCAGCCCCGGGCCGUUUGCUAGCUAAUUCCUGGGGGAGGCAACAUGAAUGGAGACUGUCUUCAGUGCCAUUCAGCUGA